rnacentral:rRNA from 1 species
CCCUUAGAUGUUCUGGGCUGCACGCGUGUUACAAUCGGGAGUACAACAAGAUUGCAAAUCCUAGUGGAUGAGUGGUUCUUCGAAAUUUUCUGAAGACUGGGAUAGUUGAUUGAAAUUAUUCAACUCAAACGAGGAAUUCCUUGUAAUUGUAAUUCAUUAUAUUGUAAUGAAUACGUCCCUGCCCUUUGUACACACCGCCCGUCGCUCCUACCGAUUGAACGAUCCGGUGAAUUAUUUGGAGUAGCUCUGGAAGUUGCGGAACUUCCUAUGUCACGAAAUUUUGUAAACCUUAUCGUUUAGAGGAAGGAAAAGUCGUAACA